AUUGAACGCUGGCGGCAUGCUUUACACAUGCCAGUCGAACGGUAACAGGCCUUCGGGUGCUGACGAGUGGCGAACGGGUGAGUAAUGCAUCGGAACGUGCCCAGAGGUGGGGGAUAACGCAGCGAAAGCUGUGCUAAUACCGCAUGUGAUCUGAGGAUGAAAGCGGGGGACCAGGCAGCAAUGUUUGGCCUCGCGCCUUUGGAGCGGCCGAUGUCAGAUUAGGUAGUUGGUGGGGUAAAGGCCUACCAAGCCGACGAUCUGUAGCUGGUCGGAGAGGACGACCAGCCACAGUGGGACUGAGGCACGGCCCAGACUCCUACGGGAGGCAGCAGUGGGGAAUUUUGGACAAUGGGCGCAAGCCUGCUCCAGCAAUGCGGCGUGCGGGAAGAAGGCCUUCGGGUUGUCAACCGCUCUUGUACGGAACGAAAAGGCUCUGGCUAAAAUCUGCGGCUGAUGACGGUACCGUAAGAAUAAGCACCGGCUAACUACGUG
rnacentral:rRNA from 1 species